rnacentral:rRNA from 1 species
UGAUCCUGGCUCAGGACGAACGCUGGCGGCGUGCUUAACACAUGCAAGUCGAACGGGGAAUUUUAUCUCGGUAGAAUUCCUAGUGGCGAACGGGUGAGUAACGCGUAGGCAACCUGCCCUUCAGACGGGGACAACAUCCCGAAAGGGGUGCUAAUACCGGAUACGAAGCUCCUGCCGCAUGACGGGAGCUUGAAAGGCGCAAACAAGCGCCGCUGAGGGAUGGGCCUGCGUCCGAUUAGCUUGUUGGUGGGGUAACGGCCCACCAAGGCGACGAUCGGUAGCCGGUCUGAGAGGAUGAACGGCCACAUUGGGACUGAGACACGGCCCAGACUCCUACGGGAGGCAGCAGUGGGGAAUCUUCCGCAAUGGGCGAAAGCCUGACGGAGCAACGCCGCGUGAGUGAAGAAGUUCUUCGGAACGUAAAGCUCUGUUGUUCACGACGAACGGGGGGACCAGGAAAUGGGUUUCCAGUGACGGUAGUGAACGAGGAAGCCACGGCUAACUACGUGCCAGCAGCCGCGGUAAUACGUAGGUGGCAAGCGUUGUCCGGAAUUAUUGGGCGUAAAGCGCAUGUAGGCGGUUCCCUAAGUCGGUCGUGAAAAUGCGGUGCUUAACGCCGUAUGGCGAUCGAAACUGGGGGACUUGAGUGCAGGAGAGGAAAGGGGAACUCCCAGUGUAGCGGUGAAAUGCGUAGAUAUUGGGAAGAACACCGGUGGCGAAGGCGCCUUUCUGGACUGUGUCUGACGCUGAGAUGCGAAAGCCAGGGUAGCGAACGGGAUUAGAUACCCCGGUAGUCCUGGCCGUAAACGAUGGGUACUAGGUGUGGGAGGUAUCGACCCCUUCCGUGCCGGAGUUAACGCAAUAAGUACCCCGCCUGGGGAGUACGGCCGCAAGGCUUAAACUCAAAGGAAUUGACGGGGGCCCGCACAAGCGGUGGAGUAUGUGGUUUAAUUCGA